rnacentral:sRNA from 1 species
CCCACAGCUUGCGCUCAGGCUUUCGAUACGGCAGAGGACGUCCUGGCGUCAGACAUAUCCCGCGGAUAUGGAAUCGUUACGGAACCGCGCACACUGAGCGGCUCCACACGGCCGCAACGC